UUGGAUUUGAUCCGUUUUAUGUCCUAGAAAACAUUUGUACAGGUCACACUGAACAGCAGAUUGUUGUCUCAAGCCAGUGCUGAUCAAUGACAGUUUAGCUGCAGUCUGUCAGAGAAGAGAGGAAAGAUGACUCUCUCACAGAAACAGAGUGUAAGAUCAGGCUCACAUGUGUCUGUGAAGAGUGACCGGUCAAAGGAUGGUGGCAUGCCGAACUUCAGUGA